AUUGAACGCUGGCGGCAGGCCUAACACAUGCAAGUCGAACGGGUGGCGGACGGGUGAGUAAUGUCUGGGCAACUGCCCGAUGGAGGGGGAUAACUACUGGAAACGGUAGCUAAUACCGCAUACCAUCGGAUGUGCCCAGAUGGGAUUAGCUAGUAGUUGGGGUAACGGCUCACCUAGGCGAUUAUCCCUAGCUGGUCUGAGAGGAGGACCAGCCACACGGGAACUGAGACACGGUCCAGACUCCGACGGGAGGCAGCAGUUGGGAAUAGUUCACAAUGGGCGCAAGCCUGAUCCAGCCAUGCCGCGUGUGUGAAGAAGGCCUUCGGGUUGUAAAGUACUUUCAGCGAGGAGGCGUUACUCGCAGAAGAAGCACCGGCUAACUCCGUGCCAGCAGCCGCGGUAAUAC
rnacentral:rRNA from 1 species